GAACUUUAACAUGAUUCAUUAUCGAGACGUAUAUGCAUACACUGAUUAAGGAUUCCUUGAAAAGUUAAAAGAGUUGUCACGCCCGGAAAUUCACUAGUAAUUUCCGAAGUUAUUUAUGCAUAAAAUCCUCGUCCAGCAAUCAACCGAGGUACACAAACUGACAAUUUAAUAUACAAAUCCAUCAUAAUAAUAACGUUACACACUUACAAAAGAAAAGAAAACAGCAGCGGAAUAACGGUCUAGCGAUGGCUUCAGCUCCACUCCCACAGGCAGCUCAACUGGGGUAUAAGCCAAACGUCUUCUCCUUCUAGAUCCUUUUUCUUCAACUGAGGAUGAUUGAUUAUUGCAAGAAUGAGCAUAUGACAUACUCAACAAGCCACACAACAAAUAUGCAAGUGCACAAGGAUACCAAAGGAUGGCAUAAUAUAGGCUCAUUUGCAAAAGCAGCAUUUAGCAAAACAUUUAAGAGAAGUAAAACAGUGGAGUAAUUAAUCAGAAAUUUUAAUCAACACUGAACAACACACCCAUGCUGCACAGGCCCAACCAUCCUGAACAACCAUACCCGGCUGUACAGAUCUAACUCCAAACCAGGAGCUAAGCAAAUUAUUACCAGGUAUAACAUCCAUAAUUAUUGUGAGAGGUGUGAGACUAAUCACGAAAAACAUUGCUCAACCCACCCAUAACCGCGGGCACGGCUAUUCGAAUAGUUUUACUCUGGCCAGAGGUGUACCACUGUACCCACAAGACACAGCCUCAACAUUAUGUCUACCAUGCGUCGCGAUACUGGAAAGUACCCGAAUAGAGGCUGUGGCAAUACCCUCUGCACAACACAACUCACCACAGUGCACCAUUCCUGGAUCAUAAUCACCCCCUUAUAAAACAAGGCAUGGACUCCCCAGCGACCCCCGUGGGCUUAUCUCCGCCACUUCUCAGUCUGGUGCUCCGCAAUGAACCAUGCUAUACAAAAGGUAAAGUCGUUGCCCACGCUGGCUUGUGGUUGGCACGGUUAAUGUUUCACAACAGUAGCUCGCGAACCGGUCCUUAAUUGCCAUGAGCACGACCUUCAAAACCAUGUGCUCACAACCCACCAUUAAUCAUAUUUUAAUUACCAAUUAAUUAUCAUAACACGAUUAACCAUCGUGAGCUACCAUUAAAUAUAACCAUAAAUAAUAAUGUAGUAUAUAUGAUUCAUCCCAUUAGUGAGCUAAUGUUUCUAAGCAUGGCUAAGCAAUUAUAUCUAAUAUCUAGCUGAACCAAUAUAUAAAGCUCAACUAGUCAAGUUAUAAUAACCCAAGGUAUCAAGGAAUAAAGUAAUCAAUGCAAACAGGCCAUAACAAAGGAAUAGAUUCACACCACCAAUGACAUUCGAAAAUAAAUGCACAGUUGAAAUAAAUAGAGAAUUUAAAUAUAGGAUCAACAUGCUCAAAGGAUUGUGUUUAGGAUCUGUGUGACUUGCCUUGCAAUAAUCGGUCUUCAAUUAAUCUUCUGAACACUCCCGACGCACUCACGAACCUUCGCAACGACGGAAACGACAAGCUAACACGCAAAACGAAGAAAAAGACUAAUAAAAACCAAAUAAACAGUACAUAUAAAGUAAACAAACAUGUAGAUCAUGAUUUUAGAUGAAUUUAGCAACUUGAACCACUCAAAACCGAGUUACGAUGAUUUAGUUAUGAAUUUCCGAAGAUUUAAUCUAUUAGAAAAACAGGAAAAAGAAAAACGAUGAUGACAUCAUGAUGACCUCAUCAAUGGCCGGACCAAGAUGGCGACCUCGCCGGAGAUUGGAUGGUCGGCUGCGACUUUGGAGGACAUGUACACGUAGAGGACGACGAGACGAACCUAACGGUACUCACCCUCGAACCAAACGACGAACGACGACGGCCGGCGACGGGGCUCCGGUGACCGGCGACAGCGGGGAGAGAGCGGCCGAGCUUGCCCACACCUCGGCGCACCUUACGGCGGUGACGGCGACCGGCGGCGACGACGGAGGCGGCGGCGCGACGCGGAUGGAGCUCGGCCGGCGACGACGGCGGGGUGGAGCACGUGGCGGCGGCGCUACGAGGCACGGGAGAUCACGGGAGAGGGGGCAAACGAAAGAGGAGGACUAGGGGGUCCUAUUUAUAGCCUUGGAUUGAAGAGAUCGGACUCCUCCCGCAAGAAAUCGAUCCGGGAAAUCAAAAACUCGGUUUCGGAGAUAAACUCGAAAACGAGUUCGAUUCGGAUAAGAUACUCAACGAUUAGCUCCAAUUUUUAGGGGUAAAUAUAGAGGAGGAUAAGAGGAAUAUUUCCCCUCAACUAAUUUUAGAAAAACACAAGGGGAAAGGUCAGAUUUGGA
rnacentral:lncRNA from 1 species